GUGAGGACAAGGGAGAGUCAGUGCCAGAGGAGCUGCCUGCAAGAAACAUCAAGGAGGAAAGGAUCCUUUGUGACCUAGAAAAUGCUUUGGAGGGGCUGCUCUUUCAUUUUGCUUGCAGCAUGGAGGGAAAGCUAUCAUCAGUGGAAGGGCUGUGUGACCAGUGACUCUGUCAGCUACAGGAAGAAGUGGAGCCACGUGAGCACUGGGAGUUCUCAUCUGGAAUUGCACAACCAUCACUAACUCAAAGGGCCAUCAAUGCUGCAGAAAGCAAAGGAAAGGGGUUGGAAGUCUGACAUAGUGGUCUGUGAAAGAGGCAUUAAAUAGUUGAAAUCACACUUGAAAAUACAGGUGAAUCCAAAACCAAACAAAAAAAAAAACCCACCAAAGCAAACAAACCUGAGAAACAAGGCACACAAAAAUAAACCCCAAACCAAACCCCAAAAAGCUGAUAUGGAUUAUUGAUCACUCUGCAGGAUGUUGUCCAGUGGCUGUUCCAGCCACC